AGGAGCUCAAAUUUGAAAUCUGGGGUCCCCGACCUCCGAGUUGUAAUUUGGAGAGGCAUCCUCCGGGGGGAGCGCUGGCCCAUGUUCCUUGGAACAGGACGUCGCAGAGGGUGAGAAUCCCGUGCCAGGCCGGCUGCCUCCUCCCACGUGAAGGGCCUUCGACGAGUCGAGUUGUUUGGGAAUGCAGCUCCAAGUGGGUGGUAAAUUUCAUCUAAAGCUAAAUACCGGCGGGAGACCGAUAGCGCACAAGUAGAGUGAUCGAAAGAUGAAAAGCACUUUGAAAAUAGAGUCAAAAAGUACGUGAAAUUGUUGAAAGGGAAGCGCUUGAGACCAGACUCAGACCCGAGCAAACAUCGCGCCCCUCGGGGCCGUGCAAUUGCCUGGGGCUGGGCCAGCAUCAGUUGGCGUGGCGGGACAAAGGCGCGGGGAAUGUGGCUCCCCUCGGGGAGUGUUAUUAGGCCCGCGCUCAAUGCCGCCGCCGCCGACUGAGGACCGCGCCUCGGCUAGGAUGCUGGCUUAAUGGCCUUCAGCGACCCGUCUUGAAACACGGA
rnacentral:rRNA from 1 species